GACUAAGCGUACACGGUGGAUGCCCUGGCAGUCAGAGGCGAUGAAGGGCGUGCUAAUCUGCGAUAAGCGCCGGUAAGGUGAUAUGAACCGUUAUAACCGGCGAUACCCGAAUGGGGAAACCCAGUGUGAUUCGUCACACUAUCAUUAACUGAAUCCAUAGGUUAAUGAGGCGAACCGGGGGAACUGAAACAUCUAAGUACCCCGAGGAAAAGAAAUCAACCGAGAUUCCCCCAGUAGCGGCGAGCGAACGGGGAGGAGCCCAGAGCCUGAAUCAGCAUGUGUGUUAGUGGAAGCGUCUGGAAAGGCGCGCGAUACAGGGUGACAGCCCCGUACACAAAAGCGCAUGUGCUGUGAGCUCGAUGAGUAGGGCGGGACACGUGGUAUCCUGUCUGAAUAUGGGGGGACCAUCCUCCAAGGCUAAAUACUCCUGACUGACCGAUAGUGAACCAGUACCGUGAGGGAAAGGCGAAAAGAACCCCGGCGAGGGGAGUGAAAAAGAACCUGAAACCGUGUACGUACAAGCAGUGGGAGCACCCUUCGGGGUGUGACUGCGUACCUUUUGUAUAAUGGGUCAGCGACUUAUAUUCUGUAGCAAGGUUAACCGUAUAGGGGAGC
rnacentral:rRNA from 1 species